rnacentral:rRNA from 1 species
UGAACGCUGGCGGUAUGCCUAACACAUGCAAGUCGUACGAGAGUUUUUAACUCAAGUGGCGGACGGGUGAGUAACACGUGAGAAUCUACCUUUAGGAGGGGGAUAACAACUGGAAACGGUUGCUAAUACCCCAUAUGCUUUCGAGUGAAAUGAAUUUAUUCGCCUAGAGAGAAGCUCGCGGCUGAUUAGCUUGUUGGUAAGGUAAUGGCUUACCAAGGCGACGAUCAGUAUCUGGUUUGAGAGGAUGAUCAGACACACUGGAACUGAGACACGGUCCAGACUCCUACGGGAGGCAGCAGUGGGGAAUUUUCCGCAAUGGGCGAAAGCCUGACGGAGCAAUACCGCGUGAGGGAUGACGGCCUAUGGGUUGUAAACCUCUUUUUUCAGGGAGGAAUCAAUGACGUGUACCUGAAGAAUAAGCAUCGGCUAACUCC